GAUGAACGCUGGCGGCGUGCCUAAUACAUGCAAGUCGAGCGAACAGACGAGGAGCUUGCUCCUCUGACGUUAGCGGCGGACGGGUGAGUAACACGUGGAUAACCUAUCUAUAAGACUGGGAUAACUUCGGGAAACCGGAGCUAAUACCGGAUAAUAUAUUGAACCGCAUGGUUCAAUAGUGAAAGACGGUUUUGCGGUCACUUAUAGAUGGAUCCGCGCCGCAUUAGCUAGUUGGUAAGGUAACGGCUUACCAAGGCAACGAUGCGUAGCCGACCUGAGAGGGUGAUCGGCCACACUGGAACUGAGACACGGUCCAGACUCCUACGGGAGGCAGCAGUAGGGAAUCUUCGGCAAUGGGCGAAAGCCUGACGGAGCAACGCCGCGUGAGUGAUGAAGGUCUUCGGAUCGUAAAACUCUGUUAUUAGGGAAGAACAAAUGUGUAAGUAACUAUGCACGUCUUGACGGUACCUAAUCAGAAAGCCACGGCUAACUACGUG
rnacentral:rRNA from 1 species